AAUUCUCAACCCUCAAGGUUUGUUCCUUGAUGGGCUUGGACUUGGAGGGGCUUGUGUCGGCUCUUGUCAGCCGACUCCUCUGAAAUGCAUUAGCGUGAAUCUUACGGACCACCUUCGGCGUGAUAAUUAUCUGCGCUGUGGUGCUGCGAAGUAUUUAAACUGACUCAUGCUUACAACAAAUUCUGAUCGUGCUUCCUUUUCGGAGACACGCUUUAGUUUUUAUUAUAUAUGACAU
rnacentral:misc_RNA from 1 species